AGCUCCAAUAGCGUAUAUUAAAGUUGUUGCAGUUAAAAAGCUCGUAGUUGAAUUUUGGGUUUGAUUGGCUGGUCUUGUCGCAAGAUAGGUACUUGCCGGUCGAAUCUUUCCUUCUGGCGAACUAUUGUGCUAUUAGUUUAGUGUGAUAGGGAUCCAGGACUUUACUUUGAAAAAAUUAGAGUGUUUAAAGCAGGCUUACGCUUGAAUACAUUAGCAUGGAAUAAUAGAAUAGGACUUUGGUUCUAUUUUGUUGGUUUCUAGGACCGAAGUAAUGAUUAAUAGGGAUAGUUGGGGGCAUUAGUAUUUAAUUGUCAGAGGUGAAAUUCUUGGAUUUAUGAAAGACUAACUUCUGCGAAAGCAUUUGCCAAGGAUGUUUUCA
rnacentral:rRNA from 1 species